UACGUAGGUGGCAAGCGUUGUCCGGAUUUACUGGGCGUAAAGAGCGCGCAGGCGGUCGUUCAAGUCGCGUGUGAAAGCCCCCGGCUCAACUGGGGAGGGUCACGCGAUACUGAUCGACUCGAAGGCAGGAGAGGGAAGUGGAAUUCCCGGUGUAGUGGUGAAAUGCGUAGAUAGUCGGGAGGAACACCAGUGGCGAAGGCGACUUCCUGGCCUGUUCUUGACGCUGAGGCGCGAAAGCUAGGGGAGCAAACGGG
rnacentral:rRNA from 1 species